AAGCGCUUGCUACCAGACUUGUAGGCGGUGUUCCGCCGGUCUUCUGACCGGUUCACUCGCCGCCCGCAGGCCAGCAUCAUCCGGUGCCGCCGGAGAAAGGUAUCGGGAAUGUAUCUCCCCCGGGAGUGUUAUAGCCCUUCACACAAUACGGCGAGCGCCGGGUGAGGUCCGCGCUUCGGCUAGGAUGCUGGCGUAAUGGCAGUAAGCGG
rnacentral:rRNA from 1 species